rnacentral:tRNA from 1 species
AGUAAAGUGGCCGACAACAAGCAAAAGAUUGUAAAUCUUCUAAUGGGGCCACACCCCCUUUACAA